rnacentral:rRNA from 1 species
CCCGCGUAUCGGAUGAUAUUACGCCUAUGCGAGUCAUUGCAGCAAUGCAAGGCAGACGGCUCAGUAACACGUACUCUAUCUAACCUAUGGACGGGGAUAACCUCGGGAAACUGAGCUUAAUACCCGAUAGGUCACCAUGCCUGGAAUGGUUCGUGGCCAAAAUGAUUCAUCGCCGUAGGAUGGGACUGCGGUCUAUCAGCUUGUUGGUGAGGUAAUGGCCCACCAAGGUUAUAACAGAUACGGGCUCUGAGAGGAGAGGCCCGGAGAUGGGUACUGAGACACGGACCCAGGCCCUAUGGGGCGCAGCAGGCGAGAAAACUUUGCAAUGUGCGAAAGCACGACAAGGUUAAUCCGAGUGUUUUCUGCUAAAGAAAUCUUUUACCGGUCUUAAAACAACCGGAGAUUAAGGGGUGGGCAAGUUCUGUUGUCCGCCGCCGCGGUAAAACCCAGACCUCAAGUGGUCAGGAUGAUUAUUGGGGCCUAAAGCAUUCCGAAGCCGGCUUGGUAAAUUUCCGGUUAAUCUGGUACCCUUAACGAACAAGGUGGCCCGGAAACCUGCCAACUUAGGAGUGGGAGAGAGGUAACCGGACUCCGGAAGGAAGGGGUAAAAUCCUUGGAAUUAUUUGUAACCCCCGUGGGGGAAGGGGGCUACCCGAAACGUCCGACGGGGAAGGAUAAAGCUGGGGGAGCAACCCGAUUAAAACCCCGGGAGUCCAGCUGUAAACCAUGCAAAUCCAUGAUGCAUUGGUUGUGGCCCAUGGAGUGCUCGAGGAAACCCUAAAUUUGCCCCCUGGAAAUAUCUUCCCAGUUUGAAAUCAAGGAAUUGACGGAU